GNCUCCCGGGCCCGCAAGGCGGUCCAGCGGGGAAUUUCGAUUUACCGCGAAGUAACUNACCCUUGCCCUUGACACUGACAGAAUCCUGCAGAGAUGCGGGAGNUGCCUUCGGGCCUGGAAAACAGGUGCUGCAUGGCUGUCGUCAGCUCGUGUCUGUGAGAUGUUGGGUUAAGUCCCGCAACGAGCGCAACCCUUGUCCUAGUGCCAUCAUUUAGUUGGGCACUCUAGGGAGACUGCCGGUGAUAAACCGGAGGAAGGUGGGGAUGACGUCAAGUCAUCAUGGCCCUUAUGGGCAGGGCUACACACGUGCUACAAUGGGCGGUACAAAGGGUUGCCAACCCGCGAGGGGGAGCUAAUCCCACAAAGCCGUUCGUAGUGUGCAGUCUGCAACUCGACUGCAUGAAGUCGGAUCGCUAGUAUCGCAAUCAGCGUUGCUGCGGAGAAU
rnacentral:rRNA from 1 species